GCCGAAGUGGCGGAAUUGGUAGACGCGCAUGAUUCAGGAUCAUGUGCCGGUAACGGCGUGGAGGUUCAAAUCCUCUCUUCGGCACCA
rnacentral:tRNA from 1 species